AUUGAACGCUGGCGGCAGGCUUAACACAUGCAAGUCGAACGAGUGGCGGACGGGUGAGUAAUGCUUGGGAACCUAACGUAUGGAGGGGGAUAACUACGGGAAACAGUAGCUAAUACCCCAUACCAUAGGAUGAGCCCAGGUGGGUAUAGGUAGUUGGUGAGGUAAAGGCUCACAAAGCAGACGAUCUCUAGCUGGUCUGAGAGGAUGACCAGCCACCCUAGGACUUAGACACUUCCCAUACUCCUACGGGAUGCAGCAGUGAGGAAUAUGGCGCAAGGGUGGCUACCUGACGCAGCCAUGCCGCGUGAAUGAAGAAGGCCUUCGGGUUGUAAAGUUCUUUCGGUAGCGCGGCGUUAACUACAGAAGAAGCACCAGCUAAGUCGGUGCCAGCAGCCGCGGUAAUUC
rnacentral:rRNA from 1 species